rnacentral:lncRNA from 1 species
AAAAAGUCACCGCUAAAAUUUAUAAAUUUGUGGGGGUUUAAACCCCCACUAUAAAUAGAAAAAAUAGCCUAUACCAUUAAAAAAAUUUCCCUCAUUUUUUUUUCCAUUGACCAAAAUUUUUCCUCAUUUUUUAAUUCACCUUCCAUUCCCCCAAAAUCUCCCUCUCUCUCACAUUCCCCCAAAUCAACUUUCACUGUGUUAACCCAAAAAAAAAAAAUUAACUCAAGGUCAAUUGAUACGCCGACCAAUCGACUCCAGUCAUUUUUCCUCGAAAUUAACUCCGUCGGCCGGCCAUUGGAAUUGUGCUGAACUCUGAAAUUGUAAGAAUCACUUGUUGUGUUGUUGUUGUUCUUAUAAUAUUGUUGUUCAUAUUCUGUUGAUUAUCUUCUUGUUGUUAAUAUAGUUUGGGUGGUUGAUUUGGUGUUCAAAACACCUUGUGGAUGCAUCACAAUGACAAAAUUAGUCUUGAGUUUAGAUGCAUUAUGCUUUUAGAUCUACAAAUUAACUUGCAUUUCAUUCAACAUGGAAUCGAAAUACUAGAGAAUAAUAGCUAAAUAGAGUAGAAAUUAGGCAUUUCAAGUACAUUUUGCAAAAUGGUGGUUCCUGAGUUGAAGUAACAAGCUUAAUUAGAGUGAGAAAUGAUGAGAUACCCAUAGAUUUACAGUGUGACUAGCAUUUCUCUGAAAAAUGGAACAAAAAUGGUAGAGAAAAAGAGCAAAAUGGAGUAUAAAUUGAGCAUUUCAAGUACAUUUAGUAAAGAAGAACUGACAAGCUUAAUUAGAGCGAGAAAUAGUGAAAUAAUCAUAGAUUUACUAAGUAACUUGCAUUUCUUUGAAAAAUGAAACAAAAAUUCUAGAAAAACAACAAAAAAGAGUAGAAUUGGAGCAUUUCAAGCAUAUUAAAUACAUAAGAAUAAGGAGAAACCCCCUCAAUUUUAGGGAAAACAGAUCACAAAUUGAGUAGAACUGGAGCAUUUCAGGUACAUUGUUUAUAGAAAAAGACGGAGAAACAAAAAACACCAAGAAAAAUGGUAGUUAGUGAGUUACAAGUAGAAGGUUACAAUUUACAAGGGAAAUGAUGACAUACCCAUAGUACCAGAGGCAUCACUGCCACCAUAGAAAGUAGCAUGAGCACUCUGUCAUGCUCCACCAGUAUAAAUACCUGGAAUUCUUCCUGUUAUUGUUAGUCGUGUUGUGUAGUUGUUAGGGGCAUGUUUUGUGCUUGAGUUGCGGACUGUUUUAGGACUGUUUUGGUGCAUUCCAAGUUUGUAGUCAUGUAUCUAAAAAGAUUUUUGUAGUUGUUAAAAAGAUGAAACUCUUCCGUACUUUCUCAAAGUUUGUUGAUGAUUUUAGCCGAGCGAGCUUCAUCUCUCUAUGUAGCUGUUAGUUCUACCAACAAAUCAUGUUGUCGUGAUUAAGAUAUUACUGUACAUUGUAUUCAAAUUUCCCUUUAUUUUUUCACAGACGUAUGAGGAGUAUCUUGAAGCUCAUAGCAGACGCAACAAAAGAUCGAACCAGCCUGUUAGUACUCUUUUGACAUUUUUCUUGUUAUAUAUUCCUUUAUUAUAGAUAAACCCAUGAAUCAUGUUAUUUUGGGUUGGAUUUUGCAACAAUUGUAAAGCGUGUCUCUAUUUCAGAAAAUUCUAUUCUGCUUUCUUUCUGUAUUGCGAAAAGUAUUUAGCUUUUAUUUUUCUUCUCUAGCAUAAUUAAGUAGUUCCAUUUAUGUAUUUACGCCCAUAUUUUGUGAGUGCCCUUAUUCAAUAUAUGUAUCCAUCAGUUGAACCUUCAUAUGUACGAAUCAAAAGCGCCUAAGUACUUCACAAAGAUCCCUUCUUCGAGUCAAACUCUUCUUCUUACAUUUUUCAUUUUUUUCGUGAUUCAUGUGACACACUUUACUUUUAUUUCCUUACCUGAUCAGGUAUUUGUUUGUAUAUAUCAUGCAUAGGUAGAAAGUAUUUUUCACGUCUGUUUCAUGCUUAGUUUAAUCAUCAUUCAAAAAUUGAAGUUCUUUAAUUUAUACUACUGUUUUUAUUUACUUACUUUAGUGAGUUAUUAUUUAUUUUUAUUAGUAUACUACUUCCACAUGAGUAAGGCCUAGAAGAUUUCUGUGGAAAAUCUUUAAUUCUUCAUCUUUUUAGUAAGUCAAAUUUCUUUCUUACGAUUUAAAUUUACAUGAAUUCAUGUGAUCUCUAUAAUCUCUUGAAUAAAAUAUUUAACAUUUAUUUGACUAUCACAUGAAACCCUUCAUCGUCUAAACAUCAUUGUUGUAUUUCCAAUUACUGAUUCGGAAUACGACUAAAAUUUCAUUAAAGCAGCUUUUAAUUAUCUAUUAUAUAGUAGUGAAACACAUUGACAGGCAAGUUGUUUGUUGUUUGUGACCUUCCUCGCUAUUAACACACACAACAAAAUCAGGUAAUUCUUAGACUACAAUUAUUUAUCCUAAUAUUCUCUCACGCUUUAUUUUGUUCCUCAAACCUUGAAUUUCUAUUCUUCAUAUGGUAAGAGAAAGGCUGGUCGUUGGGUGUAGAAAAUAGUUUUUUCUUUUUAAAUUUUUUAUAUAGGUUUAAGAUAAAUUUUCUUAAUUAUAAAAGAAUUUCUUCAAAAUGUUCUCCAUGUGCAUGUAGUAUAUCAUUAGUGUUUUAAACGAUCAUGUUCUCUUUUAUGAAUUCUUGCACAAAUUAACUUGAAUAUUGUUAACGUGUAUCCCAUAUAGAUAUAGUAUUGGUAUUGACUAAUAAAAUGUCACGUCUCUAUCUUUGUCAGUUCUUAAUUAUAUGGACUUAUAAAGUGAGACUUUUUAUGCUUACUUAAUCAUGAAACUAAAUCAUAUUAUAUAUUUUAAAAGACAAUCAAAACAAAUAUAUGGUACUCUUAGAACGAUACCACACACUAUGGCAUGGGUAACUACCAGCCAAACAAAGUGUUAAAGGUAAAAACCUUGUCAUCCAAGUAAGAGAUUACCUAAAUAUACAAAAAAAUAUUUUUUAAAAUUGUGAAAAAUAAAAAUCAACUAUGGUAUCAAAUUAUGUGGUGGUGUUUUAUUUUAUUUCUUGGCUUGAAUUUUAAGAUCUUCACCUACAUACAUUGAAUUUGAAGACUUCUACCGUGAUAUUGAUUCGUUGGAUUUUUUUUUCCUUUUGUAACAUAAAAUAAUAUUGGUAAAUACAAAUCCUAAAACCCAAAUAUUAUUAACCAUCGUUCUUUUCCUUUUAUUUGCUAGGACAAUGCUGCUCGCAGAACGAAAG